AAUAGAUACCCCGGUAGUCCACGCCCUAAACGAUGUCAACUAGCUGUUGGGGCCUUCGGGCCUUGGUAGCGCAGCUAACGCGUGAAGUUGACCGCCUGGGGAGUACGGUCGCAAGAUUAAAACUCAAAGGAAUUGACGGGGACCCGCACAAGCGGUGGAUGAUGUGGAUUAAUUCGAUGCAACGCGAAAAACCUUACCUACCCUUGACAUGUCUGGAAUCCCGAAGAGAUUUGGGAGUGCUCGCAAGAGAACCGGAACACAGGUGCUGCAUGGCUGUCGUCAGCUCGUGUCGUGAGAUGUUGGGUUAAGUCCCGCAACGAGCGCAACCCUUGUCAUUAGUUGCUACGAAAGGGCACUCUAAUGAGACUGCCGGUGACAAACCGGAGGAAGGUGGGGAUGACGUCAAGUCCUCAUGGCCCUUAUGGGUAGGGCUUCACACGUCAUACAAUGGUCGGGACAGAGGGUCGCCAACCCGCGAGGGGGAGCCAAUCCCAGAAACCCGAUCGUAGUCCGGAUCGCAGUCUGCAACUCGACUG
rnacentral:rRNA from 1 species